GGGGAUUUAGCUCAGUGGUAGAGCGCUUGCCUAGCAAGUGCAAGGCCCUAGGUUCGAUCCCCAGCUCCG
rfam:Rattus norvegicus chromosome 15, whole genome shotgun sequence.